ensembl:snRNA U1 U1 spliceosomal RNA
AUACUUACCUGGCAGGGGAGAUACCAUGAUCACGAAGGUGGUUUUCCCAGGGCGAGGCUUAUCCAUUGCACUCCGGAUGUGCUGACCCCUGCAAUUUCCCCAAAUGCAAUCCCUCUUAAGUACAGCUUUGAGUAAUCUCACAAUUUUC